rnacentral:rRNA from 1 species
UACGAAGGGUGCAAGCGUUACUCGGAAUUACUGGGCGUAAAGCGUGCGUAGGUGGUGAGUUAAGUCUGAUGUGAAAUCCCCGGGCUCAACCUGGGAAUGGCAUUGGAUACUGGCUCGCUAGAGUGCGGUAGAGGGUGGUGGAAUUCCCGGUGUAGCAGUGAAAUGCGUAGAGAUCGGGAGGAUUUUUUAAGGAGACGGCGACCACCGAGAUCUACACUGACACUGAGGCACGAAAGCGUGGGGAGCAAACAGG